rnacentral:siRNA from 1 species
AUAUUCGCUUUGGAAGUACGGAUU